rnacentral:tRNA from 1 species
GCUCCGAUGGUGUAGCGGCAAACAUUGGAGGCUCUCGCCCUCCAGCCCCGGGUUCGAUACUCUUUUUUUGGUUAAAUUUGAGCGAAACUCCCGGUCGGAGCA